AUUGAACGCUGGCGGCAGGCCUAAUACAUGCCAGUCGAACGGUAACAGGAAGAAGCUUGCUUCUUUGCUGACGAGUGGCGGACGGGUGAGUAAUGUCUGGGAAACUGCCUGAUGGAGGGGGAUAACUACUGGAAGCGGUAGCUAAUACCGCAUAACGUCGCAAGACCAAAGAGGGGGACCUUCGGGCCUCUUGCCAUCGGAUGUGCCCAGAUGGGAUUAGCUAGUAGGUGGGGUAACGGCUCACCUAGGCGACGAUCCCUAGCUGGUCUGAGAGGAUGACCAGCCACACUGGAACUGAGACACGGUCCAGACUCCUACGGGAGGCAGCAGUGGGGAAUAUUGCACAAUGGGCGCAAGCCUGAUGCAGCCAUGCCGCGUGUAUGAAGAAGGCCUUCGGGUUGUAAAGUACUUUCAGCGGGGAGGAAGGGAGUAAAGUUAAUACCUUUGCUCAUUGACGUUACCCGCAGAAGAAGCACCGGCUAACUCCGUG
rnacentral:rRNA from 1 species